CAGAUGGACUCUCUUCCUGCUCAAGGUGGAUACAUGCAGUAUUCCGUCUUCCACUCUCAGAUGGACACCAUUCCUGCACAGGCAGCGUAUGCUCAGUACUCCGUGAUGAAACAACAAAUGGCUGCUGGCCCAGUAUCUGACAACACACCACCCAACUGUGCAGGAUCACCAAGGGUG